UGUAGGAGCUGCCGAAGGCUGCGAUCUUUUGACUUUGGCUUUUCCGAGAUCAAAAGAUCGCAGCCUUCGGCAGCUCCUACA
rnacentral:antisense_RNA from 1 species